ACGGGUGAGUAAUGUCUGGGGAUCUGCCCGAUAGAGGGGGAUAACCACUGGAAACGGUGGCUAAUACCGCAUAACGUCGCAAGACCAAAGAGGGGGACCUUCGGGCCUCUCACUAUCGGAUGAACCCAGAUGGGAUUAGCUAGUAGGCGGGGUAACGGCCCACCUAGGCGACGAUCCCUAGCUGGUCUGAGAGGAUGACCAGCCACACUGGAACUGAGACACGGUCCAGACUCCUACGGGAGGCAGCAGUGGGGAAUAUUGCACAAUGGGCGCAAGCCUGAUGCAGCCAUGCCGCGUGUAUGAAGAAGGCCUUCGGGUUGUAAAGUACUUUCAGCGGGGAGGAAGGCAGUGAGGUUAAUAACCUUACUGAUUGACGUUACCCGCAGAAGAAGCACCGGCUAACUCCGUGCCAGCAGCCGCGGUAAUACAGAGGGUGCAAGCGUUAAUCGGAAUUACUGGGCGUAAAGCGCACGCAGGCGGUCUGUUAAGUCAGAUGUGAAAUCCCCGGGCUUAACCUGGGAACUGCAUUUGAAACUGGCAGGCUUGAGUCUCGUAGAGGGGGGUAGAAUUCCAGGUGUA
rnacentral:rRNA from 1 species